GCGCGAAUCACCCUCUCGUCUUGAGAUCACAUGGCGCGACGAGCCUCAAAACCGUCACGAAGCGUGAACUCUUGACGAAAAGGUGCACUUCCGUGUCCGCUGGUUAACAUCAAUUUCGAACGUCAUAAAAAGGCUGGAGGGAUGUGGCUCCUUCGGGAGUGUUAUAACCUUUAGCGGAAUGUGGCGUUCGGGAUUGAGGAUUGCAACGAAUACCUUCAGGGCUGUUCCACCUGGCUUCUCAUUGGUAUCCUGGUGACGACAGCUUGCUGACGUCGUUAGGAUCAGCUUCUGAACAGGCUAGAGUGUGAGCAAAUUCGUUAAGGAUGUUGACGUA
rnacentral:rRNA from 1 species